UUUUCUUUUGGUGUAGCCUAUUUUUUAACUCAUUAUACUCUUCACUUAUUGCAAAAAUUCCAAAAAGGUGGAAGUUGGUUACCAUAUUUCAUAGUCAAAACAUAACUUCUCUUUCAUUUUAAAAAUCACCAAAAUCAAAACAUAACUGCCACGAGAGAUAUGAGGGGAGUAGAGAUUCAAGAGGAAGAAAUAAGGAUUGAGAAAACAUCACACCCCUGAAAAACGGGCUGUUAAUCCCUUUUUAUCGAAAAAAACCUCUCAUACUGAUAGUAAAUUUGAUUAAUAUGAUUCUUUAUCGUAUCUGCAAAAAUAUUAUAUCUUUGAAUGAAGAAGGGAAAUUGUGUGUCACUUUUUUAUUCCAAGUUAGUUUCUUUUUACAAAUUCUUAUGAUUAUUGUUCUUACCAUUAUCUUUGCAUGAUUUAUGCAAUAAAAUUCAAGUAUCAGGGUUCAACUUUCUUUUUAUAUCUCAAAAUGGAGAACCACACCAAGCAGAAGUCACAAGGGAGUUUGAUAUUCUUCAAUUAUAUUGUUAAAUUUUUCUAUUUUAUCAACCUAUUAUAUUCUUCAAUUUUUAUUAUUCUAUUUUUGGUUUCUAUUUUAUGCUUAUCUUUUCUUAUCAUUAUUUUCCUUUGAAACUUGAAUUUGUAUUUGUGAGCCUUUAUUCUUCAAUUGUUUGUUUCUAUUUUAUGCUUAUCUAUUCUUAUCAUUAUUUUCCUUUGAAAUUUGAAUUUCUAUUUGUGAGCCUUCUUAUGUCAUGAGGGUUAAUUGUUACUGAUUAUAAUACUUCUUGAUCAGACUCUUGAAUUGUUAUCAGUAAACUUUGGAGCAAAUGAAUUAGGUAAGGCCAAUGGGAAAUGAUCCAAACGGAUUGUAACUCUCCAAACUACACCGGAAGUAUAUACAAGAGACAAGCUCCUAUUGUACCAAUGUGAGAUUUCUUCAAUUUCCUUAGCAUAUUUUCCUUUUUGUUACAAUAUUAUUCUUUAGUUAAUAGGCAUGUACUGCCUUCUGUAAAUAAAAAGAACAAUGUAAUUGAUAUGGUAGAAAAAAUUACUCCAAACUUUUGCACUUUUAAUUAUGGAAAAUCUCCUGCUCAAAAGUAAUAUUUUCUAUUCCAAACUUUUUUGACGCAUGUAAUAUAUACAUAUGUUAGCGCCCGACUGCACAAAAAUAAAUGUUAGACUAUGUAAAUAUCUUUUAUGUUUAGCAUGUAUCUUUUAUUUAUAGUAACGUCGUGAUGGUCAAAUUAGUAAAUGACUUGGUCGUAAAGACCGUAAUGAAUUGAUAAUCAACAAAUCUCAAUUCAUCGGGUUUUUUAAUUCUAGGUUAGAAAUUUUAUAUAUUAUUUUUCUAUGUGGUGUUAAAAAAGUUCAUCAGAUUCUUUUAAUUGGACUGAAUUUUUUUUAUUGUUGGGGAUUUAGGAGUUGUUGUCAUCCAAUUAAAAAAUGCUUCACGGUUUCACAAUCAACCCCUCUCUCCGUUUAACCCAAUUAAAAUAUGGUUAUCCUAUUGGAAAAUUCUAUGGUGAAGUUAUGAGAAUGACUUUUUUGGUGAAGUUAAUAUUAUGAUAUCAAAAUUUCAGUCAUUAUAGUAUCAUCAAUUCAUCAGAUUAACAAGACUACACUUAAUCUAAUUUUAACAUACAUUGUUAUAAGCGUAACACCCCACAAAGUGUAACACUUAAAAUUAUCACAUAAUAUCAUCAAGUCUGUUUGCAUGUUAAGGAUUCCGACAAUAAAAUAGUACUUGUAAGUCCAAGAUAUUGUAGACAUUACUAGAUGAAUUACUAUUGAUCAUUAAUCAGUAAUCAACGAUUUAAAAAUGAAUCAAAUAUUAAGAUCAAAAUUAACUUUUUCAAAAAAGUCAGUUUCCCGACUGCACCAUAGAAGCUCCCUAUCCUAUUACAUCCACUAGUGACAAAAACCGAAAGAAAUAGAAAAUAAUGUGUAUAAGCAAAGGGAUAAAGAAGAAGAAGAAGAAGACGUAAUGGUUGAGAAAGAGGGCACUAUUUGCGUUUUGUAACCAUCAAUAUUCCUCUUAGUUAACUUUUAUUGCUUUAAGUUCAAAGAAAAUGUUGUAGUGUCAUGUUUCCUUUAAUAAUGUUAUUGUUAUCUCAUUUGAUUUUUACUUUAUUCAUGAGCAAUAAAUACAAGGAAAAAUGAUAUAGAUAAACACCGCUGCAACUGAGAUGAGGUGAGGAAAAUUGAAAGAAAGCUAAAAGUAGAGUACAGAGGUUGUCACAGAAACAGUGCAUUAGGCAGCGGCUAUGAAUAAAUGUAAUGUUGGAGUGUGGCUUCCAUAUACCACCAAUCGGCAGGAAGCGCUCUCUAUUCUUUUUUUAUUUUUAUUUCCUUCUUUUACUCUCCUUUUGUUUUUUGUCUGUUAUUUCAAAAGUAGAAGUUACACUCAAAAAAAGGAACAAGCGAUUUAUAUCUAUGACCUCUUAUUCCAUGUUAUUUGUUAAUUAAAUUCAUUCAAACAAGUAACAAUGGGUUCUGUACUUCCUAUAGAACAUAGAAAAUGUCAUUGUUGUAUUAGAAUGGGAUUCUUUACAUAGUUGGUGAUCAACGAUUUAUGCAUUUCCUACAGUUUUGGGUUGCUA
rnacentral:lncRNA from 1 species